CGCACGGGUGAGUAACACGUAUCCAACCUGCCGUCUACUCUUGGACAGCCUUCUGAAAGGGAGAUUAAUACAAGAUGGCAUCAUGAGUCCGCAUGUUCACAUGAUUAAAGGUAUUCCGGUAGACGAUGGGGAUGCGUUCCAUUAGAUAGUAGGCGGGGUAACGGCCCACCUAGUCUUCGAUGGAUAGGGGUUCUGAGAGGAAGGUCCCCCACAUUGGAACUGAGACACGGUCCAA
rnacentral:rRNA from 1 species